AGAGUUUGAUCAUGGCUCAGAUUGAACGCUGGCGGCAUGCUUUACACAUGCAAGUCAAACGGUAACGCGGGGGCAACCCUGGCGACGAGUGGCGAACGGGUGAGUAAUACAUCGGAACAUAUCCAGUAGCGGGGGAUAACCUAUCGAAAGGUGGACUAAUACCGCAUACGAUCUACGGAUGAAAGCAGGGGACCGCAAGGCCUUGCACUAUUGGAGUGGCCGAUGUCGGAUUAGCUAGUUGGUGAGGUAAAGGCUUACCAAGGCGACGAUCCGUAGCUGGUCUGAGAGGACGAUCAGCCACACUGGAACUGAGACACGGUCCAGACUCCUACGGGAGGCAGCAGUGGGGAAUUUUGGACAAUGGGCGCAAGCCUGAUCCAGCCAUGCCGCGUGAGUGAAGAAGGCCUUCGGGUUGUAAAGCUCUUUCGGUGAAGACGAAACGGUUCGUGCUAAUAACGCGGACUAAUGACGGUACUCACAGAAGAAGCACCGGCUAACUACGUGCCAGCAGCCGCGGUAAUACGUAGGGUGCAGGCGUUAAUCGGAAUUACUGGGCGUAAAGCGUGCGCAGGCGGUUUGCUAAGACAGGUGUGAAAUCCCCGGGCUUAACCUGGGAAUUGCGCUUGUAACUGGCAAGCUAGAGUGUGGCAGAGGGGGGUAGAAUUCCACGUGUAGCAGUGAAAUGCGUAGAUAUGUGGAGGAAUACCGAUGGCGAGGCAGCCCCCUGGGUUAACACUGACGCUCAUGCACGAAAGCGUGGGGAGCAAACAGGAUUAGAUACCCUGGUAGUCCACGCCCUAAACUAUGUCAACUAGUUGUCGGGGAAGAAAUUCCUUGGUAACGAAGCUAACGCGUGAAGUUGACCGCCUGGGGAGUACGGCCGCAAGGUUAAAACUCAAAGGAAUUGACGGGGACCCGCACAAGCGGUGGAUUAUGUGGAUUAAUUCGAUGCAACGCGAAAAACCUUACCUACCCUUGACAUGCUAGGAAGCCCGCAGAGAUGUGGGUGUGCCCGAAAGGGAACCUAGACACAGGUGCUGCAUGGCUGUCGUCAGCUCGUGCCGUGAGAUGUUGGGUUAAGUCCCGCAACGAGCGUAACCCUUGCCAUUAGUUGCUACAUUCAGUUGGGCACUCUAAUGGGACCGCCGGUGACAAACCGGAGGAAGGUGGGGAUGACGUCAAGUCCUCAUGGCCCUUAUGGGUAGGGCUUCACACGUAAUACAAUGGUCGGUACAGGGGGCUGCCAACCCGCAAGGGGGAGCUAAUCCCAGAAAGCCGAUCGUAGUCCGGAUUGUAGUCUGCAACUCGACUGCAUGAAGCCGGAAUCGCUAGUAAUCGCGGAUCAGCAUGUCGCGGUGAAUACGUUCCCGGGUCUUGUACACACCGCCCGUCACACCAUGGGAGUGGGUUCCACCAGAAGUAGUUAGCCUAACCGCAAGGAGGGCGAUUACCACGGUGAGAUUCAUGACUGGGGUGAAGUCGUAACAAGGUA
rnacentral:rRNA from 1 species